GGAAUUGCUAGUAAUGGCAGGUCAGCAUACUGCCGUGAAUACGUUCCCGGGCCUUGUACACACCGCCCGUCACACCAUGAGAGUUGGGAAUACCCGAAGCCUGUGAGCCAACUUUUAAAGAGGCAGCAGUCGAAGGUAGAAUCAAUGAUUGGGGUGAAGUCGUAACAAGGUAAC
rnacentral:rRNA from 1 species